ACAGGGUGUGGUGGUGCAUGCCUGUAAUCCCAUCGGCUUGGGAGGCUGAGGCAGGAGGAUCACGAUUUCAAAGCUAGCCUCAGCAAAAAGCUAGGCACUAAGCAAUUCAGUGAGACCCUGUCUCUA
rnacentral:sRNA from 1 species